GGGUACAUGAAGUUUUAAUUUAUGGCUCAGGACGAACGCGGGCGGCGUGCCUCAUACAUGCAAGUAGAACGCUUCUUUUUCCACCGGAGCUUGCUCCACCGGAAAAAGAGGAGUGGCGAACGGGUGAGUAACACGUGGGUAACCUGCCCAUCAGAAGGGGAUAACACUUGGAAACAGGUGCUAAUACCGUAUAACAAUCGAAACCGCAUGGUUUCGAUUUGAAAGGCGCUUUCGGGUGUCGCUGAUGGAUGGACCCGCGGUGCAUUAGCUAGUUGGUGAGGUAACGGCUCACCAAGGCGACGAUGCAUAGCCGACCUGAGAGGGUGAUCGGCCACAUUGGGACUGAGACACGGCCCAAACUCCUACGGGAGGCAGCAGUAGGGAAUCUUCGGCAAUGGACGAAAGUCUGACCGAGCAACGCCGCGUGAGUGAAGAAGGUUUUCGGAUCGUAAAACUCUGUUGUUAGAGAAGAACAAGGAUGAGAGUAACUGUUCAUCCCUUGACGGUAUCUAACCAGAAAGCCACGGCUAACUACGUGCCAGCAGCCGCGGUAAUACGUAGGUGGCAAGCGUUGUCCGGAUUUAUUGGGCGUAAAGCGAGCGCAGGCGGUUUCUUAAGUCUGAUGUGAAAGCCCCCGGCUCAACCGGGGAGGGUCAUUGGAAACUGGGAGACUUGAGUGCAGAAGAGGAGAGUGGAAUUCCAUGUGUAGCGGUGAAAUGCGUAGAUAUAUGGAGGAACACCAGUGGCGAAGGCGGCUCUCUGGUCUGUAACUGACGCUGAGGCUCGAAAGCGUGGGGAGCAAACAGGAUUAGAUACCCUGGUAGUCCACGCCGUAAACGAUGAGUGCUAAGUGUUGGAGGGUUUCCGCCCUUCAGUGCUGCAGCUAACGCAUUAAGCAUUCCGCCCCUGGGAGGAACCCCGCCCU
rnacentral:rRNA from 1 species